rnacentral:rRNA from 1 species
AUUGAACGCUGGCGGCAGGCCUAACACAUGCAAGUCGAGCGAGCGGCGGACGGGUGAGUAAUGUCUGGGAAACUGCCUGAUGGAGGGGGAUAACUACUGGAAAAGGUAGCUAAUACCGCAUAUCAUCUCAUGUGCCCAGAUGGGAUUUGCUAGUAGGUGGGGUAACGACGCACCUAGGCGACGAUCCCUCGCUGGUCUGAGAGGAUGACCAGCCACACUGGAACUGGGACACGGUCCAGACUCCUACGGGAGUAGUCAGUGGGGAAUUUUGCACAAUGGGCGCAAGCCUGAUGCAGCCAUGCCGCGUGUAUGAGGAGGGCCUUCGGGUUUUAAAGUACUUUCAGCGAGGAGGCGUUACCCGCAGAAGAAGCACCGGCUAACUCCGUGCCAGCAGCCGCGGUAAUAC